GAGGGAGGGGCACCUGCUCAGCCUUGCCUGUGUGUGGAUCCUUCUCUCUCGGUCUCUCUCAGGGGAAGCUGCCUGGACAUGCAUGAGCCUUGCGGUUCUGUCCUACCAGGCUGCCUGCUCUUCCUGUUGAAAGCAAAAGCCUUCACUUGCUGAGGAUGCAACGAUGCCCUAGUGUCCCUUGCAGGAGCCAGUGUCAGAGCCAGGAGCCGUCGUGGGCAUCCUCUGCUCCAAAGUUACGAGUUCUGGUGAAGGGGUCAGGAUAGCCCCUUUGAGAGUUCAGCAGAGCAGGUCUGCACAGGGCCCACGCCGUGCACAGCCCACACUCCAGCUGCCCUGGUGCACACUGACGGCAGCAGCCAGCCGCGGGGACCCCAGGCGCAGUGUCACCCACAUGAAUGUUAGCGCAGCCUCCAGAGGCGGGUUCCGUUUGCACCCCUGGUUCGCUGGUGACACAGUUGUGACUUGGCCCAGAAUCCCACAUGGGAAGACCCUAGUCGGAGGCCCCCACCCUUGCCCGGAGCUGGACUUUGGGGCAGCAGCAAACUGCAGUGAGCAUGAGUCACACCUGAGGACAGGUGGGCUGUCUUCAGGCUCCCAACAGGUCUGUCGCCUAAGGGGCUGGGGAAUGGGGGCCAGAAUGCCACGGCCUGCCCACCUGGGGGACUCUAGGCAGAGCUUGAGCAGCCUGGCAGGAAAAUAUCCCCCAGUUUCCAGAGAGUAAAAGCUGAUGGUCCUACCGAGGUGUGAAGGACAGUGACGGACAGUGAUGGAAGGUGAUGGACAGUGGAGGACAGUGAUGGACAGCAACAGAGAGUGGAGGACAGUGAUGGACAGUGACGGGCAGUGAUGGACAGCAAAGGACAAUAAUGGACAGUGAAAGACAGUGGAGGACAGUGGAGGACAGUGAUGGACAGCAACAGACAGUGGAGGGCAGUGAUGGACAGCAGAGGACAGUGAUGGACAGCAGAGGACAAUGAUGGACAGCAUAGGACAGUGAUGGACAGCAGAGGACAGUGAUGGACAGUGGAGGACAGUGAUGGACAGUGGAGGACAGUGAUGGACAGCGGAGGACAGUGAUGGACAGAGGAAGACAGAGAAGGACAGCAAUGGAAGGACAGCCACCCCAGCCAGCACAAACGCAGGCCUAGUGGGGCCCAUGCAUUCCUGGGACUACUGGCAAGCUGGGAAAGGCCUCCAGGGCAGGGAAACUCAGGAGAGUGACAGCUUGUUCAGGCCAGGACCUUGUGCGUCUUCGCCUUUUUUCUUUCUUAGUAAGCCCAGUGGAUUCAUUUUUGGGGGGCUGCCAUGACAAAUUCCCAUAAACUAGCGGCUUAAAGCCACGGAAAUUUUUUAUGUCCCAGUUCUGGAGGCUAGACGUCUAACAUCCAGGUGUGGGCGGGUUGCACUGCCUUCGAAGCUCUGGGGAGGGUCCUUCCUGCCCCUCCCAGCUCCCGUGGCUCCCAGCAUCCUCAGCCUGUGGCCGUAUCGCUCUGGUCUUUGCCUCCACCUUUGCAUGACCUCGUCCUCUCCUGUGUGUCACUUGUUAUGAUGCUUCUGAUGCCAUUUAGGGCCCACCUAUGUAAUCCAGCAUGCUCUCAUGUCAAGAUCCUUAAUCACAUCUGCAAAGAACCUUGCCCCAAACUCCUGGCUUCAGGCAAUUCUCCUGCCUUGGCCUCCCAACGUGCUGGGCUUGCAGGUGUGAGCCACUGUGCUAGGCCUAAAAUUGGGGGGCCACCAUUCAGUCGCUGCUCUCCCACACCUGCAGCAGCCCCAGCCUGUCCGCAGGGCAGACCUUCCUUGUGGCAGAAACAACAGGAAAAGGAAAGGAAGAGGAACCCAGGCUUGGGUUCCCGGCAGAGCUGCUGGCAGAGCUGUCCGCAGAGCCUGUGCGGGGCUGCAAAGACCCCUCUGUUGUCAAAACACCCCUGUCCCCGUGCACCAAAAGCAGCCAGAACAGCCACAGAGUUUCAGAUGAAACUGGGAGAACUGUCAACUGCAACAAACACUCCCAGAAAAGGAGAGGCCAAUCCCCAGGGCUUCGCAGAGAGCACAGCCUGACCCCUUCAUCCGGGCCCACAGGCAAUGUUGUCGACUCUGUUCUUCCUUUGAAAGAAAAGGGCGCUGGUUGGCUUCCAGUUUACCGCAGACACACAGAGAGGCCCCUCUCUGGCUCAGAGCCUGGCCUGGGUCUCUCCAGUCCCAGCUUCUCCCUCCUGAAAGGAACGUCCUGCCCAACAAUGCAACACGUGUGUGCACUCCCAGUGUGGGAAUCAGGCUGAGCUGGACUUCAGGGGCAGCCCAGGAUGGUUGCCUCGGGGGAUGCGUUUUCCCCGAGGUUUCCCGGGAGCUGCCUGGGAGUUGCCGAAGCUUCUUCCCAGCUGGCUUCAGCCCAGGCUUCCUGGGUGAGAUUCUUGUUCCCUGGCCCUUCACAGUACGCAUGGUCCUGUUCCCCGCAAUCCCCACCCCCUUGAACUCCGUUCCCACACUCAGGACCCACCCAGAUGCCAGCUCCCCACAGAGCAGUGCAGCCCCCCUCUUCCGGCCCUGACAGCACACACCCUGCCCCCCACCACCAUUUUGGAAUAGUUCUUCGCCAGAAAUACCAUUUCCCACCCUGUCUUCUUAUUCUCGGAGGCAGAGGCGCUUCAGCUUCCUGAGCCGUCUGUCACUGAAUCACCCUGGUUUCCACUGGCAGUGCCGCCUCUCCCUCACUCGGAUGCUUCUGUGCAGCCAUGCAGGCUGUGUGUGCACAACCUCAGGGGGCACAUCAACCGCGUCCUCAGGCUGGCCGUAGAGACAUGGCCUCGGCCCAAGCGUCGCCGUCAGACUCUCCCUGGUACUAUGAACCCUUGGCUGAGGGGGCAGAGGGGCAGCUAGGAUCAUGGCUGCAGCUCCCGGAGAGGAGCCCCCAGCCUCCGGGCCGUCUUCCUGAGCCUGCUCCCCAGGCCGCGCCUUUCCUGACUUCCCUCCAGGCUCCUGUUGCUGGCGACCACAGAACGAGCCCCAGGGCUUUCCUUUCCUUCCUGUCAGGGGUCCUUUCCCAGAGGUGGGAGCUCUGGGCGGGUGGGCCUGUCCCGGGAGAGUCACGUAGCUUGUUUAAAGAGAAGAUCCCCAUGGCUCCUGUGCACACAUGUGGGGCCACUCUCCCCAGGGGCUGCUGUGAGCCUGGGAAGUCCUGGGUGGUGUCUCAUGCCCCAGAGAGCAGCCCCCAGUGCACCUCGCACGCGCCCUCCUGCGGGUCUGCCGACUUUCUCCUCUGCCUCAGCCAAGUCUCCCACGCGGAGCAGGUGGGAACCGAGUGAAGGCCUCACAGGAUUCUGAGGCCCCGGUCUGACACCCACCUGGCUCAGCACCUGCUUCCUCAGCCUCCAGCUGCACGGGUGGCCGCAGGCGUCAGGGUGUGAUGGCAAAUGUGACAGCAAACGUGGCUGGUCCGGUCAGAGGUCUCUGCAUCCUCUACACCUCUGGCCAGGUGAGGCCCAGCCUAUGUCCCUCCCAGCUCUACUGAUGGACGGCAGGAAGCUGAGACCCCGAGCCCGUGUAUCCUCGGUUCUUGGUGCUUUGUAAUGCCCCUGGCCCUGGCUGCAACCGCCCACUGGCUGGGCCCCGAGCCUGCCCACCCUGAAACACUCACCCGUCAGGAAGAGAGAGCCUCGGCCGAGAGGACAGCCAGAAGGUGUAAGGCGAGAGGGUGCUUCCUGAGACACGCAGUGGGUCCAGGGCUCCUGUGGUCUCCUGCCUUGGCCAUUCCGUCCAUCUGUGGGAGGGCCUUGGCCUCUCUGCUUUUGGAGCAGGGCGCUGGGGCUAGGGGAUUGCAGCCACAGCCACGCCACUGCACUGAUUGGGAGCUCAGAUCACCUGGGUGCAGAGGAAGCUUUGAUGGCAAGGGUUGGUGUGGCUCAUCUCGCCCACCAUCUGCUGUCCCUCCUGAGCCUACGUUAGGCUCCAUCCUUCCCCAGGCCCCAUGCCACCAGCAAGAACAGCCCAGCCAAUGCAGGCCGCACCCCUCGGCCUCGGCCGGGACCGAGCACACUGCCCUGUGCUUGUCCAGUGUGCUGUCCCUGGCCCCUGAGGCAGGUGGCCUGACCCCCGUCUUCAGAGGGGAAAGCUGAGUCUUGGGGAGGCCACACAGCCGCGAGGAGUGGGGGCAGAAAGAACCCAGCUCCGCACCAGGCUGUGUCAAGCCGGCGUUUAGUGCCUGGCAGCAGCUGCGGCCUCUGCAGGGCUUCCCGGCACAGGCGUGGGCUCUUCCAGCACAGAGCAUGGGCUGCACCAGCUUCGGGGUGCACCGCAUACAGGGUAGGGCCAUGGCCGCAGCCGCUGGCUGACACCAGGAGUAAACGAGGACACCAGACCGGCACAGCCCAGGCCCGGCUGGGUGGCAGGCGCUGCCGGUGCCUCUCGAGGGGGCAGCAGGGUCAGCUGCAGAUGAGGCUGCCCCAGGACUGGCUGCCAGCCCUCAAAGAGCCUCCUGGGUCCCCCCGGCACAACUCUCUGCGUGAAGCCCCCAGCAGGAGAAGGAUUCACUGCCCUGAGCCUGACACAGCACGAGACGGAGGCCUCACUGAGUCCAGGCCCAGCACUGGCCCUCCCCUGGAUCGUGAGUCCAGGCCCCCAGCCAGCCCCUCCCCUGGACCUCCCGAGACCCUCUCUGUGGGAGCCCAGGGGCCGGAGCCGCUCGACCACAUCUUCUUGGUAGCUCUCAUUUGGGACCUCAUCUUUAAUCUCAGCAACUCAGGGAUCAAAGAGAAAAGGCCGAGGCAGGCGAGGCCGGGGUUUCUUGCUCAAGCAUUCGGAUCAUUAAACAAAUGAAAAAAGUCAAAGAGAAGGAAA